CACAUGACUCUCGGCAACGGAUAUCUCGGCUCUCGCAUCGAUGAAGAACGUAGCGAAAUGCGAUACCUGGUGUGAAUUGCAGAAUCCCGUGAACCAUCGAGUUUUUGAACGCAAGUUGCGCCCGAAGCCUUCUGGUUGAGGGCACGUCUGCCUGGGCGUCACGC
rnacentral:rRNA from 1 species